ACACGUAGGGGCCUGACGUUGUUCGGAAUCAUUGGGCGUAAAGGGCGCGCAGGCGGCCGUCCAAGUCCGGUGUUAAAUGGUCGGGCUCAACCCGAUCAUGCGCUGGAAACUGGGCGGCUGGAGUCCCGGAGGGGAUGCCGGAAUUCCAGGUGUAGGGGUGAAAUCUGUAGAUAUCUGGAAGAACACCGAUGGCGAAGGCAGGCAUCUGGCCGGAGACUGACGCUGAGGCGCGAAGGCGCGGGGAGCGAACAGGUUUAGAUACCCUGGUAGUCCGCGCAGUAAACGAUGCGCACCAGGUGUCGGGCGGCAGCGCCCGGUACCGGAGCUAACGCGAUGAGUGCGCCGCCUGGGGAGUAUGCCCGCAAGGUUAAAACUCAAAUGAAUUGACGGGG
rnacentral:rRNA from 1 species